AGAGGCCUGCGGUCCAUCAGCUAGUUGGGAGGGUAACGGCCUACCAUGGCAUAGACGGGUAGGGGGCGUGAGAGCGCGGACCCCCUCGCUGGCACUGAUAUACGGGCCAGACUCCUACGGCAGGCAGCAGUAAGGGAUAUUGCGCAAUGGACGAAAGUCAGACGCAGCCCCCCCGCGUGGGCGAUGAAGGCCUUCGGGUUGUUCCGCCCUUUUAUGGGGGAAGAUAAAAAGGACGGUACCCCAGGAAUAAGUCCCGGCUAACUACGUGCCAGUAGCCGCCUUAAAACGUAGGGAACCAGCGUUAUCCGGAUUCACUGGGCUGUAAAGAGCGUUGAGGCGGUUCCGUAAGUUGGGCGUGAAAGCUCCGGGCUUAACUCGGAGAUGUCGCUCAAUACUGCGUGGCUUGAGGACAGCAGAGGACGGUGGAAUUCCCGGUGUAUUGCUGAAAUGCGUAUAUAUCGGGAGGAACACCCGUGGAGAAGGCUGCCUUCUGGGCUGUUCCUGACGCUGACGGCCAAAGCUAGGGGAGCGAACGGGAUUAGAUACCCCGGUAGUCCUAGCUGUAAACGAUGCAUGCUGCUUUUGGGGGGAGUAAAUUCCCUCUGUGAUGAAGCAAACGCAUUAAGCAUCCAGCGUGGGGACUACAGCCACAAGACUAAAACUCAAACAAAUUGUCGGGGGUCCGCUCAAGCAGCAGAGCGUGUGGUGUAAUUCGAUCUUACACGAAGUACCUUACCUGGGUUUGACAUGCACGUUCUAGUGAACCGAAAGGGCACCUACCUUGGGGAGCGUGCACAGGUGCAGCAUGGCUGUCGUCAACUCGUGCCGUGAGGCUGUCGGGUUAAGUCCCCUAACUAGCGCAACCCUUGCCCUUAGUUACAAGUGUCUAAGAAGACUGCCCGGCACAAUCUGGGAGGAAGGUGGGGAUGACGUCAAAUCAGCAUGUCCUUUAUAUCC
rnacentral:rRNA from 1 species